GACGUAGGGUGCGAGCGUUGUCCGGAUUUAUUGGGCGUAAAGAGCUCGUAGGCGGCUCGUCGCGUCGACCGUGAAAACCCGCGGCUUAACUGCGGGCUUGCGGUUGAUACGGGCGGGCUAGAGUUCGGUAGGGGAGACUGGAAUUCCUGGUGUAGCGGUGGAAUGCGCAGAUAUCAGGAGGAACACCAAUGGCGAAGGCAGCUCGCUGGGACGGUAUUGACGCUGAGACGCGAAAGCGUGGGGAGCAAACAGG
rnacentral:rRNA from 1 species